CUUCACUUCUUUUUCUUCACAAUCUUCUUCAGUGCUCUCUCCUCUCUCUCCCCUCAGAUUUGUGCUGGGUCACAUGACUGCAAGAUGUCACAGAGAGUAUAGUCUUUUCUUCACUCUUCUCUUUAUUUUUUUUUUUGAAAUACUUAUUUUUUCUCUUUUCUUUUGUCUAUCUCAUCUGUUUUUUCUCUGCUGUUAGAAGCACAGACAGUUCUCAGAUCAAUUGAGAGAGUUAUCUCUCUUCAUUCACUAUAAAGUCUUUCAGACACAGCAGCAGCAGUUCUCUUGAGAACCACACAAUAGCUUCAUCAUGAAUGAUCAUACAUCAGAUCAGAAGUGAAUGUGCAGCUUAGUAAAAUUCUUUUCAAUGAGCUGAGUCUUCUCAAGAAUUGCCAUCUGAAUUCUGUUUUCUUUCUCUCUGUAUAUAUAGAAAUCUCUU
rnacentral:sRNA from 1 species